rnacentral:rRNA from 1 species
CAGUAGCCGCGGUAAUACGUAGGUGGCAAGCGUUGUCCGGAAUUAUUGGGCGUAAAGGGCUCGCAGGCGGUUUCUUAAGUCUGAUGUGAAAGCCCCCGGCUCAACCGGGGAGGGUCAUUGGAAACUGGGAAACUUGAGUGCAGAAGAGGAGAGUGGAAUUCCACGUGUAGCGGUGAAAUGCGUAGAGAUGUGGAGGAACGCCAGUGGCGAAGGCGACUCUCUGGUCUGUAACUGACGCUGAGGAGCGAAAGCGUGGGGAGCGAACAGGAUUAGAUACCCCUGUAGUCCCUGUCUCUUAUAC